AGGGGCCGGGGGGCGGGAGCGCGCUCGCUCCCUCACAAAUACCUCAUCCCUCCUGCCUUAGGGCUCCUCGGAGAUAGUAUUAGUGCUUUUUGGUGAACCUGAAGGGCUUUUCUAGUUUUGUGUGCUCCCGAGGGUUGUUUGCAGUGCUCACUACUAGCAUGGGUCUGUGGGUUGUAUAUUUGCAAACAGCAGCUGUGCUAAUAAAGCUGAUGCACUUGGCAGAAAUGAAGAAAAAUAUCACCUACCCUGCUUCUUGCCACACUUGAUCGGAAGAUAAUAAACAGCUGGUGAAGCCUCCUGGGAAUAUGCUUGGAGUUUCCAACAAUUUACAUCUGUUGAUUCCCAAAAUCAGGGGUAGCAUCUUGCUUGGCAGCUCGCAAUGUAUACAUCCUCCAGAAAUUCAUCCAGAUGACUCUCUGCUCCCUGUGAACUUGCAGUACAUGCAACAUCCUGCAGUAGGGCGCUCCGCAGUGUAGUCAAUGCAGGAAGAAUCACUUUCUUUGCUUUCAACCUGACAUCCUUGUGUCACUUUUCGGCUACUAUUCUAUGAACUUUUCCAGUUCUAGCAUGUGCUGUUUGAGAUGGUAGCGUUGAAAAUGCAUACAGUGUUCACGUUACAAACAUACAUUGGAUUUAGAAAGUGGCAUAACUAUUCUGUGUGUUCUCAAAGUAUUUCCUAAAUAUUUCUAACGUUUAAGACAUUGUUGAAUACUGCUAGGCACUGAGCUGCCGUCGUCCUAAAUAUACCUAUUAAAUUUCCAAGAUUACACUCCUGAAGUGCAGGGGUCCGCUCAGUCAUAAUUACUCAUAAUUUUGAACAUUUUUCCCCACUUGCGUCACUGAAAAUCACUUUAUUGCCAGUCACUGAAGGCCCAGUUCAGUUGCCCAGAUCUAGGUGUCUAGCUCUACUUCAGGUGACCCAGGGUAUCUCACUGAGGCUUCAGAAGGGCGUGGGACUCCAUCAGAUCCCCUGCAAGAACCAUUAAGAUGUCUCCCAUGUGCAAGGGCGUGAGUGUGGGUAAUUGAGCCCUGAGUAUUUAAGGUCUUUUUGUAAUUCUUCUCAGCCACACCUCUUCUUUUCUUCCAUGAACAAUGUGGUAUGAGGAGGAUUUGUCUUUUCAUUCUUCACCUCCAUAUUCAAAUUAUUUACAUAUAAGGACACAGAUAUGAAGGAUUAUUGGUGACUUACUUUCACUGUGAAAAAUUACUUUACUUAGUCUGUUUCCUAUCUUGUAACCACAUUUUGCUCCAUGCAAGGAUUUUCUCUUAUUCCAUGCAUGCUAAGUCUCCUUAAGAGCCUUAGGUUAAAAAAAAAAAAAAAAAAAAA